UUCUAAAUGUGGUUGUUGAGUUAAAAGAGUUGAUCUCCUUUUUGUUUCCUCAAAGAAAAAGCUUGAAAAUAUUGUCUUAAAGGUUGAGUCUUUUUGUUAAAAAGGCAAAUACUUAAAGCAUUCAUCUUAAUUAGACUGCAUUGGUGGAGCCACAUGUUGGAAAGUUAUACUACGCGAAUAGGAAAAGAAUAUAUUUUUGUAUGUACAUGCAUUUUUUUGAAUACCUUUGACAUUAUAUGACUACAUAUUAACCUUUCGAGUCCCCUUGUAGGAAUUUCUCUCUUCCACUAUCACUCUUUUUGAGUCCCCUAGUUGGGAUUUCUUUCUCCGCGACAUUUAUGUAACUUUUUGAGUCCGCUAUUCGGAGUUUCUUUCUUUGCCACCAUAAGGUCGUGGUUGUAACAUAGGUGAAAAAUGCAUCAUCUUUGAGAUGGAAUGUAAUAGCUAUAAUUCAUUUUUCUAGUGCCUACUAGUAAUUGUUGCUUUUAGUAUAUCAAUAAUUCUGUUUUCUUACGUUGCGUGAUUAAAUCUAGUGUACAACUUGCACAUGUUUUGUUCUUGCUCCUCUAAUGUGACCUCCCAUUCUGCGGCGUUUUGUUUUAUAAAAAAUAAGUUCGCAAGGGAAUCAUGUAUGCUUAUGUGUGUGCGUUUUGGGAGUUAACAUGCCUCGUUGAAUUUGAUUCACGUAGUUUUCUUAUUAUAUAUCCUUGACACGGUUAACUAUCUUGCAGUCUGGUUGCUGCAAGCCAUCA
rnacentral:misc_RNA from 1 species